AGGGGCUUAGGAUCAUACCUUAGACCAAGGGCCUUCAAAGCCCUAAGUGGGGGUGAAAAUCCCCCAGCCCCUG
ensembl:Mt_tRNA